UGCAGCUCCAAGCGGGUGGUAAAUUCCAUCUAAGGCUAAAUACUGGCGAGAGACCGAUAGCGAACAAGUACUGUGAAGGAAAGAUGAAAAGCACUUUGAAAAGAGAGUGAAACAGCACGUGAAAUUGUUGAAAGGGAAGGGUAUUGCGCCCGACAUGGGGAUUGCGCACCGCUGCCUCUCGUGGGCGGCGCUCUGGGCUUUCCCUGGGCCAGCAUCGGUUCUUGCUGCAGGAGAAGGGGUUCUGGAACGUGGCUCUUCGGAGUGUUAUAGCCAGGGCCAGAUGCUGCGUGCGGGGACCGAGGACUGCGGCCGUGUAGGUCACGGAUGCUGGCAGAACGGCGCAACACCGCCCGUCUUGAAACACGGAC
rnacentral:rRNA from 1 species